AUGUCCUCUUCGUCAUCUUUCCCCGGCUCCCGCUUCCCCUUCGCCGCCGGUGGCGCCGGUGCUGGAGCCUCCGGUGGAGGCGGAGGCGGCGGCAGUGGGAGCAGCGUGCGGCCCUGGGGGUCGAGCGGAGGGACGUCGGUCUCGUCGUCGGGGAAGCGGAUACAGAAGGAGCUGCUGGACCUCAACGCUUCCGACUGCUCCGCCGGUCCCAAGGGCGACAACCUCUACCACUGGCUCUCCACCAUCAUUGGACCCCAAGGGUCACCAUAUGAAGGAGGGAUAUUUUUCCUUGAUGUCGUUUUCCCACUUGAUUAUCCUUUCAAACCUCCUAUGGUGACUUUCAAAACAAGGAUUUACCACUGCAACGUUGAUUCCACUGGGGCAGUGAGUUUGGAAAUUUUGAAGGAUGGCUGGAGUCCAGCUUUAACUAUUUCAAAGGUGCUACUGGCGAUCAAAGCCAUCAUCACAAAUCCGGAUCCAUACAACCCACUUGUGGAGAGCAUUGCACGUCUGUACCUGACUGAUAGAGCUAAGCAUGAUGAAAUAGCUGCUGAAUGGACAUUGAGGUUUGCAAGAUAG
rnacentral:rRNA from 1 species